AAGAUAGGAGAGGAGAGGCGCACACUUUGCUAUAACUGACUUUUGUUGUUCUUGCUUGCAUUCUUCUCCCUUUUUUUUUUUUUUUUUCCGUCGGCCCCUUUUCCACAUUGUGAGUCGCCAUCAACGGCUUUCCUUGUUGCAGGGCGAGCGCGGAGCACGCACGGAGGGAGCUUCUCCGCUCCGCGAGCCUCGUAACGGCGCGCCGGUGCUCUCGGAUCCCGAAGCCUAAGGACUAAUCGGCGGCGCGUGCGGAGCGAGCCGCCCCCCGACCCCUCCACCCGGUUCGGGCGAAAUGAUGCUUGGAGCUCGAAGUUGCAGCUGGAGAGAAGAUUCGACGGCGCUCGAAGGAGGGAAGGGGGGGUGAAGAUUUCUGCCAAUCACGACGAGAGGAAGACAGCCGCCGCGCACGAAGCCGACGCAGACUUAAACCAUCUGUUGAACGAAGGAUGAAGACAAUUUCAGCAGAGGGGGGCCGCCAUCUUGAGGUGAUGUGUAAGGAUUUUUUUUUUUUCGUUGUUGUCAAAAUAUGACUUACUGUAGGCCGUUAUUAUAAGACAAAUGGAUCAAAAUGUACAUCUGGCAUCGUAAC